ensembl:snoRNA U3 Small nucleolar RNA U3
CAGACUAUGUUUUCAGGGGUCAUUUCUAUAGCUCAUUAUGAAAGAAAUUUCUCUGAAGGUGAAGAGCACCCAAAACCCUAGCAAGCUUACUGAUCCCUCCUGAGUGUGAAGCUUCUUUUCGGUGUUGGUUCUGCAACUGCCAUUGACCAUUGAUGAUCAUUCUUCUCUUCCUUUGGGAAGCAAGAGGGAGAGGACACUGCCUGAGU